rnacentral:tRNA from 1 species
GCGCCCUUAGCUCAGUUGGUAGAGCAGCGAGUUUACACCUCGAAGGUCGGGAGUUCAAAUCUCUCAGGGCGCA